rnacentral:misc_RNA from 1 species
AAAGUCGUAACAAGGUUUCCGUAGGUGAACCUGCGGAAGGAUCAUUACUGAGAAACUGCCCUUUGGGUAGAUCUCCCACCCUUUGUUUACAUUACCUUUGUUGCUUUGGCAGGCCCGUCUUUGGACCACCGGCUUAGGCUGGUCUGUGCCUGCCAGAGGAUCUUAAACUCUUGAUUUUUGUAUUGUCCGGGUAAUAUUAUAAUAAGUUAAAACUUUCAACAACGGAUCUCUUGGUUCUG